rnacentral:lncRNA from 1 species
CUUGUCAAUGACUGAAGAUUGAAUUGCAUUACCUAUUUCUUUGUGGUCUUGUUUUUAUUCUUGCCCUUUCUGUAUCACUUUUCAACAUGUACUUUCCUUUCCAUCAUAAGAAUAUCAAAAUACAGUAAAAUGAAUGAAAAAAUAAUCACUUGUGAUACAAAACUUUUAUAAUAAAUGGAAAUUUCACACAAUAUAUAUACAUGUUUAAUUAUAUUCUGGAAUAUAUGUUACAUGAAAUUUAGCAAUAUAUUUUAAAAGUCACCCACAAUGAAAUAAAAAUGCAACAUUAAAACAGUGAAUAUGAAACAAUAAUUAUGUUUGUUCAAAUCAAUAACGAUGAUAGUACAGAUUAAAGUUAUUAUUACAUAAGUGUCCAUCUAUAACUUUUGUAUACAGUUGUGUGUUUAAGAAGUCACCUACUUCAAUACAUUUUUAUUACAAUUACCAAAGAUCUCCCUUACUUCAUAACACUGCAGUUAAUCAUUACCUGAAAGUAAAUUGUUUGGUCCCACUGACAUGUACAUGUACAAUUAUAUUCAAGUUGAUUUCAAAUUCUUUCAAAAAGUUUUAGUACAAGUAAAUAUAACAAAAGCUGUCGGAGGACAGCAACACUCCACUAUUCAACAGCCUUGUCGAUUGAAUGAAUACGAAAGUCGAAAAAGGGGCAUAAUU